CCCUUAGAUGUCCUGGGCCGCACGCGUGCUACACUGACACUUACACCGAGUUUUUCCAAUGCCGAAAGGCCAUUGGUAAUCAGCAAUAAGUGUCGUGAUGGGGAUAGAUCUUUGGAAUUUUUGAUCUUAAACGAGGAAUUCCUAGUAAACGCAAGUCAUCAGCUUGCAUUGAUUACGUCCCUGCCCUUUGUACACACCGCCCGUCGCACCUACCGAUUGAAUGGUCCGGUGAAAUCUCCGGACUGGCGUGAGUCGGAGCAAUCUGACAAACACCGGAAAGUUGAUUAAACCUUACCAUUUAGAGGAAGGUGAAGUCGUAACA
rnacentral:rRNA from 1 species